CCUUCCUUGAAUUCUCAACUCUGACUUCUCCACUUGGAGAGACCCAGGGCUCCAUUUCAGUUGCCACUCCAUCUACUAUGACCUGAGCAGUAAGCUGUGCGACCCCAGAACACACCUUCUGUCAAGAGUUGCCUUCUCCCCUGAUGUCUAAAGUCUGGAAAUAGUUGCUUCAGUAUAUCUGCGUUGAGAAUCGAGCCCAGUAGCUCACAUCUACCACUCCAACCUUCCGGCUUCUUAAUGGUGCUGAAAAGAACUUUAACAUCUUGAAGAUAUCGGAUACAGUGAAUCUCUAAGUAUGGUUUGAAGUGUUGAGGAAUUCUAAUCAGG